GGACGAAAGUCUGAUGGAGCAACGCCGCGUGAGCGAAGAAGGCCUUCGGGUCGUAAAGCUCUGUUGUUAGGGAAGAACAAGUAUCGGGGUAACUGCCGGUACCUUGACGGUACCUAACCAGAAAGCCACGGCUAACUACGUGCCAGCAGCCGCGGUAAUACGUAGGUGGCAAGCGUUGUCCGGAAUUAUUGGGCGUAAAGCGCGCGCAGGCGGUCCUUUAAGUCUGAUGUGAAAGCCCACGGCUCAACCGUGGAGGGUCAUUGGAAACUGGGGGACUUGAGUGCAGAAGAGGAAAGCGGAAUUCCACGUGUAGCGGUGAAAUGCGUAGAGAUGUGGAGGAACACCAGUGGCGAAGGCGGCUUUCUGGUCUGUAACUGACGCUGAGGCGCGAAAGCGUGGGGAGCAAACAGGAUUAGAUACCCUGGUAGUCCACGCCGUAAACGAUGAGUGCUAAGUGUUAGGGGGUUUCCGCCCCUUAGUGCUGCAGCUAACGCAUUAAGCACUCCGCCUGGGGAGUAC
rnacentral:rRNA from 1 species